CAGUGUUGCACCUGCCUACUUGCUUUGCCUGCCUGCCUGCCUGCUUGUCUGCCUGCUUGCCUGCCUGCCUGCCUGCUUGCGAGUUACAGCGAACUCGCGAACCGAGUUCGAGUUCGUACGCUUGCCUGCUUGCCUGUCCGCUAAACCUAUAACCACCUACCCACCUACCAAGGCUAGCAGACUCGCUCUUAUUAGGUUUGGGAAUUUUGGAAGGAAGAGAAGAACGAGAAGUUACGGUGUUCCUUUUUUAAAUGGUUAAUGGCUGGGCUGUACGAUUUUCGGAUUGGCGGUUUGAAUUUAGGGAAGGUUAGGGAGAGCGAAGAAGUUGAGGAAUUCUUGAGAACGCUGUGGAUAUAGUUAGGUAGCGGCGAUUUGAAGAUCCGGUCGUUUCUAAUCGAUAAUUGCAGUUCGUUUGAUCAGCGAAUAGAUCGGAGGUUUAUAGCUCGAGGAAGUUGGAAUAGAGGAUCAAGGAGUUGUCGAGAGGCUCAUAGAAGUUUCCUGUCGAUGAUCACUCGAUCUUUAAUAGGCUUCGUGUUUAAACAGGAUGUUCGAUAUGUGGCGUUUAAUAUGUGAGAAAUGAUCGCGGAAUACGACGAAUGCUGUGGAUUUACAUGCAGAACGUAAACGGAUUGGAAACUUCACACGGUCAAAUAGGUCCUCGAUCGACGAUACGUCGUAGACCAUAGACUCUCAACACGUGGCUCGCCAGUUAAUUUUAGGCAGGCGAUUAAAUGUUACAAUAAAAUAUCGAAACACAUUACACGAUAGAAAUUCGAUAAGAGAAUAGUUAGCGAAGAAUUAUUUACGCAAGUGGAUCUGGAAAUCAUAAAAGUGUGAGAGGCCUAUGACACUGAAUAGACUAUAAUUUCGAGGAUCUUCUGGCGAGUCAGCACGACUGAGAUUCACGCUUAGGGCAAUAAAUUUGAUCCAGUUCGGUGACGACCUAAUGUAUCGGAUGCGUCGUUGUGUCACGGCGCCCGCAUAAGCAAGCGUGGCACGCGUCACGACGCCUCGCCGUCGAUAAACAAGGC